rnacentral:rRNA from 1 species
GAUGAACGCUGGCGGCGUGCCUAAUACAUGCAAGUCGAGCGAACAGACGAGGAGCUUGCUCCUCUGACGUUAGCGGCGGACGGGUGAGUAACACGUGGAUAACCUACCUAUAAGACUGGGAUAACUUCGGGAAACCGGAUCUAAUACCGGAUAAUAUAUUGAACCGCAUGGUUCAAUAGUGAAAGACGGUUUUGCUGUCACUUAUAGAUGGAUCCGCGCCGCAUUAGUUAGUUGGUAAGGUAACGGCUUACCAAGGCAACGAUGCGUAGCCGACCUGAGAGGGUGAACGGCCACACUGGAACUGAGACACGGCCCAGACUCCGACGGGAGGAAGCAGUAGGGAAUCUUCCGCAAUGGGCGAAAGCCGGACGGUGCAACGCCGCGUGAGUGAUGAAGGUCUUCGGAUCGUAAAACUCUGUUAUUAGUGAAGAACAAAUGUGUAAGUAACUAUGCACGUCUUGACGGUACCUAAUCAGAAAGCCACGGCUAACUACGUG